AGUCCCAAAGUUUGGCCGGCACACUUCCAUCUCAAUUCUUCUUGUUACCUUACCUGAAGGAACUGUACGCACUUGUAAUGUCUCUUCUUUGGGUAAUGGAGAUUAGGGUUUGUUUAAUCAUCAUUCAAUUACUCGUUUCAUUUUUCUUUUAACCCAGCGAUCUCUCUCGAAACUAUCUAGCGGCGAAAUUCCUCGCGAAUGGGGCUCUUCCAACCUUGUCAACCUUUCUCUGCUCGGAAAUCGACUAACGGGUUCAAUUCCAGACGAGAUUGGGAACAUCACUACUCUUAAAUUAAUGUCUACCUGUGAUAACUAUAUCAACCACAAAGAUCAAGAUAUAGCAAGAAGACCAAUUUGUAAGUUACAUAAACAAUGAGGAACUCAUGGUUUUGGUUUGUGAAAACUUUCCCUAAAAUUAUGUCUCGUUUUCAUUCUUUGAUAAUAAUUGGUAUAUCUAACAUUUCUGUGCAAAUUUAGUCUUGAAGUUUGAACGGUUUGUCUAUUUACAUUUCUAACAGUAGGAAAUUGGAUCCUUUUGAAUUUAUCUUCCUUUUUUUUAUGAAAUGUAAAGUUAGGCUGAGAGGAUUCAUUUGAUAUCAA